rnacentral:rRNA from 1 species
GGGCCCGCACAAGCGGUGGAGUAUGUGGUUUAAUUCGAUGCAACGCGAAGAACCUUACCAGGGUUUGACAUCCUGCGAAUCUCUUGGAAACAGGAGAGUGCCUUCGGGAACACAGUAACAGGUGCUGCAUGGCUGUCGUCAGCUCGUGUCGUGAGAUGUUGGGUUAAGUCCCGCAACGAGCGCAACCCUCGUUCUUAGUUGCUACCAUUUAGUUGGGCACUCUAAGAAGACUGCCGGUGACAAACCGGAGGAAGGUGGGGAUGACGUCAAGUCAUCAUGCCCCUUACAUCCUGGGCUACACACGUACUACAAUGCUACGGACAAAGGGCAGCAAACUCGCGAGAGCUAGCAAAUCCCAUAAACCGUGGCUCAGUUCAGAUCGUAGGCUGCAACUCGCCUACGUGAAGGAGGAAUCGCUAGUAAUCG